rnacentral:rRNA from 1 species
GUUUCAGCCGCCGCGGUAAGACAGAGGCCUCGAGCGUUAGGCGGAAUCACUGGGCUUAAAGCGCGUGUAGGCGGAUCGUUAAGUGCCUUGUGAAAUCCCGCGGCUCAACCGCGGAACCGCUGGGCAUACUGGCGGUCUUGGGCCACUCAGGGGUCACUGGAACAAGCGGUGGAGCGGUGAAAUGCGUAGAUAUCGCUUGGAACGCCGAAGGUGAAGACAGGUGACUGGGGGUGUGCCGACGCUGAGACGCGAAAGCCAGGGGAGCAAACGGGAUUAGAAACCCCCGUAGUCC